CGCCUAUGUAAAAUCUGCUCUUGCAUAACAUUCGUUGUAAUGGCAAAUUCACUCACACGUAAAAAUGCAUGAAGCUAAGUUAAAUGCUGUUUGAAACAAUAUUGUUUCAUAAUAAGAAGAGCACACGUGCCUCAAAGCCACAUUUAAUCUAAUCAAAAUAUCAAUAGUCAAAGGUUCCCGAAGAUCUUAAGAGUUGUAAAGUCUAUCACAACCACCCAAAAGUUUCUGUAUGAUAAAAGAUUUAGUUUAAAUCUUCAUUCCCUUGAAUUUUUAAUUUGUAACUUAUUCCAGAUAUAUAUGAUCUAAUUGUAAUGAUGAAUAAUGAUUUAGUGACCAAAAAACCAAUAUAACCAAUAAUUUGUCUGUUACUUGGUGGCCAACUAAGGGGAAUAGAAUAUUCCAUCCUGAACAUAUUGAACGAAUGCAAUGCAUUUUCAUAAACAUUUCUUGUACUUUGAGAAAUUGAAUAAUUCAACAAUUUUGAAGCUUCUAUAACAAAAGAUCUAGGAAUUCGUGUGGAAUAGUCUGUGGCGUCCGGUCGGCAUUGCUCGUUACUUCUCUGAACUUCUUCAUCUGUCCACGAGAUAAAGCAUCAGCAAUAAAAUUGUAUUUUGAAAAAAUAUGCAACGCUUUAAAUUGAAAAUUAAAUAACAAUGUCCACAAAACUAUUUUUCUUAACAAAAAAUAACCCCUGUUUUUUUUUUUUUUGAAGAUUUUGAAUUUAAAAUUGUAACAACAGCCAUAUUAUCACAAUGAAAAAUUAUCUUCUUAUUCGUAAACCUUUCUUUCCAUAAAUAGAUGGCCAAAGCAAUAGGUAUAAUUUCCAAAUAAGUAAUGUCACUUAAUAAAACUUUGCCCCAAUUAUGGCCAUUGUAAAAUUGCCCAUGGCCCAUUUAAAUAAGCUGCACAAACCAGUGAAUGACCACCUGCACUGUCAGUAUACAAAUGUAAAUCAGCAUUUGAAACCCAAUCUAAAUCUUGGAUAUAUGUAUAGCCAUUAAAUUCUUUAUAAAAAUAUUGCCACAUAUGCAAAUGAUCUCGUAUUCCUUUGGUCAAUCUUAUAAAAUGAUGAGAUUUUUUAACAUUUUUAAAAGCCAUAUAGACGCCAAUACCCAAUUUAUCUGAUCUUAAGUUUUGAUUUUAACACUGGUAUUCUAACCAACAUCUCAUCUGAAUAAAUUAACAAACCUAUACAUUCCAGUUUUGUGCAAGGACCUUCU
rnacentral:lncRNA from 1 species